AAUGUCUUUCUCCAUUACAGAAAUGUACGCUUUGCAGUCUUCUAGGCGCCACCAUUGGCUGUGAAAUUAAGGCCUGUGUGAAAACUUAUCACUAUCAUUGUGGUGUUGAAGACAAAGCUAAAUAUAUUGAAAACAUGUCAAGAGGCAUUUACAAACUUUAUUGUAAAAACCACAGUGGAAAUGAUGAGCGUGACGAAGAAGAUGAAGAGCGGGAAAUCAAGAGCAAGGUCAAUGCAACUACUGCCCACAGUGCAAACACUCCACAGCAGCUCAAUGGCAACUAAGGCUCAAUACAUUCUUGGAAGGACAAAUCAGGAGUCGGAGAAUACUUCAUACACAUUCUAUAAGAAUGCAGGAAGAUCCAGCCUAGAAUGGAUUUAUCUAGGAUUGUGUAAAGGACUGUAGGGGAAUGGGAAAGUUGUAUUUUUUCAAUGGUUAUUUGAUAAUUUUGUAUGUAUCACUGACUACAUACGUUUUAGGUUCAUAAUCCAGUCAAGUUUUUUCUCCAUUUUUAUUAUUUUCUUUAAUAGCAUUUCCUUGGUUUGGAAAAAAUUUCAAGGGAAUAAAAAAAAAGAAAAGAAAAAUGUUUCCUAAACUGA